AAGAGCAAAUCUUAGGGAGCAAGUCUCGCUUUGCAUCGCGCCAAUUGGUAUUUAAAGUAGACAUACAUACAACAAUAGAUUCAUUAGGCAUAUGAUAUGCAUUCAUCGCCUUGCCCCCUCUGUCAUUUCAUCCCUUUUAAUCGGUUAUUCCGAAAAAAUAUUGUCAGGGAGAAGAACAAAUCUUAGUGAGCAAGCUGGAGAAGGACAAAUCUUAGUGAGCUAGUCGAAGAAGAACGAAUCUUAGUGAGCAAAUCUCCCUCCGCAUCGCGCCAGGAGGCAUUUGAAGUAGACAUACAUACAGCAAUAGAUUCAUAGGCAUAUAGUAUGCGUUCAUCGCCUUGCCCUUUCUGUCGUCUCACGUUCCCCGCCUCUCAACUUCAGAGGCAUGCGAAUGAUCACUUGGAGGAGGAGGAACUCAGAAGGGACAUGGAGUUUGCCCAGGAAAUUGCUAUUGCCCCAACUAGCCCACCCAAAACCCUGAAUAAUCCAGUGGAGCAUGGCAUGUUAUUUGAAACAAGCUCUAGAAAAACUUAUGAAAGAAGCAGCUCAAGGUCUGAUGAGAGUAGUAAUUGCAGUGGAGAAAUGUCCAUUGAUGAAAAGGUUUUUCACUUAGCUCGUUUACAAAUUAGGAGCACCUUCUACAGAGUUGAAGAUGGUUUGAUGGCCUUGUUGAGAAACUGCUUGGAAUCAGAACUAGGAAACUCAACCUGUAUAUUGUCUGGCUCUGUUAUUCAUUUUCAAAGCAUUGAAUCAGAGGAUGUUGGGUGGGGUUGUGGUUGGCGUAAUAUCCAAAUGCUCAGCUCUCACUUGGUUAUGCAAAGACAAGAAGCAAGGCAAGUUUUGUUUGGUGGUUCAGGAUUCAUUCCUGAUAUACCAUCACUCCAAAGAUGGCUUGAGAUUGCUUGGGAAAGAGAUUUCGAUACAGUUGGCUCGGAGCAUUUCAAUCACAAAAUAUAUGGCACAACAAAUUGGAUUGGAACCACUGAAUGUGCUGCACUAUUUCGUUCUUUUGGUCUGCGGGCAAGGAUAGUGGAUUUUGGUCCUAAGGAAAUUAAAUCACCAUAUCCUCAAAAAAAUAGUCGGGGCAAGAGGAAAGCAGAUGAAGUUUGUGGACCAAUUGACAAAUUUCUACUUCGAAGGGAACCAAGGGAUCAAGAUAUUUCCCAACCAGGUUCCAGCAGGCAUGAUUCGUGUAACUUGGCAGACAGUACAGAGUCUGAUAAAUGUUUCACAAGGAAUGAUAAAGGUCGUCAAGUUCUUGUUGAUUGGGUAUGGAAUUAUUUCUCUGACAAUAAGUUCGCCAAAUCAGGCAGCAAUGAUGUUAUUGUCACUGACAAAGCGCCCUUGUACUUUCAGCAUGAUGGCCAUUCGAGAACCAUCGUUGGAAUUCAAGUCAAACAUCAGCUCAAUGGGAUGCAUCAAUACAACCUAUUAAUUUUGGACCCUACUCAUAAAACAGCAGCUCUGGAAAGAUCACUUAAAGAAAAUGUUGGAUGGCAGAAGUUUAUUAAAAGAGGGGUUCACACACUGAAAAAGCUGCAAUACCAGUUAUGUCAUAUUGAUCCUGGCAUUGCCCAUGCUGAGGAGUUGGAGCAGCUCAAGACCUUGGACAGCAUUUUUCUUGAAUUCUAGAUGAAUAUCUUGAACUACUAUGAUUGUCUUAGAUUCAGAAGCAAGGGCAACAAGUUCACAAUGUGCAGCAGCAGAGCCACUUGAAAAUCCUUUGGCAAACUUGGCUUGAAUCAGGCCACCAAUGAAGUGGCAAGGCAUCACAGCCCAAGCUACAAGACCCAUUCUCCAGUUAAGUUUCAUGGUUACUAUUGUUGCAAUCAGUAUGGAGGAGAUACAUUGGACGAUAACAGACAUACGAUCCGAGAUUAUGGUUUUGACCGUUGAGGUAUCAUUGAUGAUCCGUGAGGUAAGUGAGCCAACAUUAUUCUCAGGUUUCUCGAACCACGCUAAUUCAUUGUUUAGUAUGCCUGAAAGAAUUUAAGAAAAGGUGUCGGUUUAUGCUUUUAUAGUUCUGAAUUUCUGAUGGAAACUCAAACAUUCACUAAACCAAUAACCUACUAAAGUUGAUGAAGUAAAUGAUGUGAAUUCAUGAUUAGAGUAGCAAAUACCUGAAUACAGGGCUUGUCUAAGGUUAGUCAUGGCCUUCUCUCCAAUUACUCCAAAGAAGUAAUGCUGCAAGGUGUGAGUGAAUAAUGAAAGCAGCCCUAUUAGAGAGAAGAGGAUUGAAUACAAUCCAACUCGUUGCUUUGCGUCUUCCUUGUAAUAGGCUACUCCUAUUGUUAUGAUGAAGUAUCCAAAAAAGGGCUUUGAGAUGCCAGAAAGAGCUGCUGCAAAUGAGCCAAUAGCAGUCUUUAUAAGCUCACUUUUCUUCAAGCCAAACCAGAUUCUGAAAAACUGAACUCUUUUCCCUCUAACCCUCUGUUCCUCUUCCUUCAAAGCAUCUCUAGGAUGUUUGUUGGGUUCCUCAGAUUGGUCCAGGUCUUGAAAUGAAAUCUCUUGGUCUGUACUUGCAUUUUCUUCAGUAAGAUCUGUAACUCUGUCAUUCAUUCAAUUUAACUUAGUUAAUUAAUGUCUUUUUCUGUUUACCAUGAUUGUGCGAAGAAGGGAGGCUGUGCACCAACCUUGAGCCUUGGUCUGGACAGAGGUUCUGCAUGUUAAAUAAAUUAUUAUAGAAAUUGCUGGUAUCUAGCAAGUCGCUGUGUGUUCCCGUCUCUUUAACUUGGCCAUUCUCUAUGACUGCAAUCAUAUCUGCAUUAAUCACAGUUGACAUCCUGUGUGCAAUCAAGAUGACUGUUCUCCCCUGCAUAGCUUUCUCAAUAGCAGCUUGAACCAGCUUCUCUGACUCUGAAUCAAGUGCACUUGUGGCCUCAUCAAGUAAAAGAAUUGGAGGAUUCUUUAUAAUGGCUCUUGCUAUUGCUAUUCUCUGUUUUUGUCCACCUGAUAAUUGCACUCCUCUUUCUCCUACCUGAAGCCCAUUUUAGCCACAACGAGUUAGCCACAAUGAGAAUAUGUUUAUCGAAAAGAAACAUUACAAAGAUUGAUAUAUCAAACCAUUCUACACAUUACUAUCAUAGAUGAGUGUAUGAAGGAUUAGAAGUUGGGUUUUUUCUUUAUAGUCUGCAAGUAAAACUAGUAGUCUCUGUGGUUGUAUGCGUGCAUGUGUUUUUCUAUGUGGGUUUGGUGUUGGGUAUAGUUAGCUGACCUCUGUUGAGUACUGAUCUGGGAGUUGGGUUAUGAAAGAGUGUGCAUUUGCCAUCAAUGCUACAUUCUGGACUUCUUGAUCAUCUGCUUCCAUGCUUCCUACUUUAAUGUUAUCCUUGAUGGUGCCAGAAAAGAGCGAUGGCUCUUGAAAUACUGCUCCUAUGUUCUUUCGGAGGAACUUCAAGUCUAGAUCCUUAAUGUUGUAGUUGUCAAUGAGAAUCUCACCUGGAGGGAUGCUCACUUCAUUAGGCUUCAGGCGAAUUCAGAUCUUAUACAUUCACAUGUUUGUGCUGCAUUCUGGUCCUUUACUCUUGCAUGCUUGUUUUCAUAUCCACAAUCAUAUAUGACAUUCAUGCAUAUUUAAUAUUGGUACUUGUAUGACAGGCAUGUGAAAAUAUGUAAAUGCAACUAUCAAUUAGUUUGCAUUAAUUGUAUAGAAACUUUCAACAAAAAGACUUAGAACCUUAGAGGUCUGGGACCGAGCUGCAAACCUUGUGAUGGAUCAUAGAAUCUCGCAACUAGGGAGAUGACAGUGCUCUUCCCACACCCACUACUACCCACUAAAGCCACCACCUUUCCUGCUGGGAUGGAAAAUGAAAAUCCAUCAAGGAUUAAUCUCUCUUUCCGGGAUGGGUAGGUGAAGUAUACAUCCUGCAUGUCAAUAUUGCCAUUGAUCUUCUCGAGUGUUUUCCCUUCAGAAUCAUAGCUUAUGGCAGGUUUUCUUUUGAUCACCUGAAAAACCUCAUUUCCUGCAGCCUUUGCACUAUUAAAGAUUUGAAUGUCUGGUGCAGCAUAAGUGAGUGAUCUGCAAUCAGAAAAAGAACAAACAGGGCUCAAAUUAAUAUCUGAAGGAAUACAUGUUUUCAGCUCAAGACCAGGAUUGAGUUGUUGAGACUGCUUCUUUCUUACAUAGCUCCAAAGAGAAUGCUCAUCACUGCCGCUAUGAUGUCUCCUCCACUUGAUCUCUUGGCUGUGACAACAAUGGCUCCAACCCAAAUGAUCAGAGCCCAGCAACAGGUGGUUACAGUUUGAAACAAACCUGUCCCAACUCCCUUUAUUAUUGCCUCUCUCUUGCUUAUCCUGAACUGUUUGUCCAUGCACUCUGAGAAAGACUUGGCAGCAGUACUCUCUCCCACGAAUGCAAAUACUGUUUUGAUUUGAGAUAGUGUCUGUAGUACAUCAGAAAAGCUGAAAUGGCAUUCAUCUUCUUGCUAUAAGUGGCUCCAGUCACAAGAACCAAAGGAACAACCAACAAGGUGAGCAGUGAAACUUCCCAACAGCAAAUGGCAGCGAUCAAUAUUCCAGAGAAGCACGUUGCGAUGUUUGAUAGAAAAUGGCCCAACUGUCAGCGAAAAAGCUUAUCAGUGUCAAAAGCUCCAAUCUCCUGGUUAAGGGCUGCCCUCAGGAAUGCUAGUCGUAGACGUGAGACCUGUCUUUCACUUGCAUGCAUCCAACACCCAACCUCUGAAAAUUCCAAACAUUAAACGUUAGGUCUUGUUUGGGAACGUUUUUAAAAACAGUAAUCUGUUUGAGAAUUUAAAUAUGAAAAACAGUUUUCUUGAUUUAUUCUCCAUAAAGGCAAUAUGAAUUUCUGUACAAUACAAAAGUUUUCAAAAUAUUCUCUAUAAUUUCAAUUGUUACUCAUAACACUCUAAAAUAAAACGAUUGAAAACUUAAAAUGUUUUUAACCUGUUUUUAAUAUUUUUAAAUAUGUUUUAAAAAUAAUAUUUAUAUUUAGUGUUUUAUUUUUAAUUAUUUUACAUGUUUGUAUAAUUAUUUUUAAAACCGUUGUAGAAAACAAGUGAAAACAACUAAAAGAUGUUUUCUGAAAACACCUUAUAUUAUGAUCUUAAGAAUAGAAAACAGAUAAUAAUUGUUGGUUGUCAAACGUGUUUUUUUUAUGUUUUUUGUUUUAGAGAAUAGAAAAUGAUUCUAAAAAACAGUUCCCAAAUAGGUCCUUAGGGUGUGUUUGGGAAUGUUAUCAAAAAUAGCUUUUGAGAACAAUUCUCAAUUUUUGUUUGGAAAUUUAAACAUGGAAAACAAUUUUAUGAAUUUGUUCUCCAUGAAAAUACUCGGUAUAUAUGUAUAAUACAAAAGUGUCCAAACUAUUAUCAAAAGUAGUUUUUGAAAAUAAUUCUUAAAAACAGUUCUCAAUUUUUAUUUGGAAACUUAAAUAUGAAAAACGGUUUUCUCAGUUUAUCUCCAUGAAAAUACUAUGUAUUUAUAUAUGAUACAAAAUUGUUCAUCUAUAUUUUCAUUUGUUGCUUAAAACACCUUACAAAAAACAUUUGAAAUAAUCUAAAACAUGUUCUAAAAAAUAACUUGUUUUCAUAUCUCAUAAACAAUUGUUUUCUAUCAAAGUUUACCAAACGUAAAACUGUUUUCUAUUAUAGAGAAUAGAAAACUGUUUCCAAAAACAAUUUGCUGACUAGGUGGCUGAAGGAUGCAUAUAGGAAAGCUUGCUACCUAGUAUUCCGGCAGGAAACAUGGCGGCAGCCAUAUACCACACAUAAGGAACAACCUACACAAACAAGAACAAGAACAAGCUCAUCUAGUAUCUGCAAUUUGGUUUAGAAACUGGAAUUGAUAUGAGACUUCUAUAUAUGUAUAUAUGAAUCUGUACCUUGUAGAGGGCAUCAACCAUGGCUUCGGGAUCCUUGAUGUUGGUCCCAUAUGCGUCGAGGGCUUUGCCAAGCAGCAAGUACCCUACUGGUUGGGCCAGGCCAUGGACAAUGGAGCCCAAGGUGCCCAGUGCCAUGAGAACCCAAUCCAAACCAUCUGCAUAGCUCAAAAGCUUAUGAAAUGGCAGAGCCUCCUCCCCCAUUGCUGUAUCACCAUCUCCCUCAGUCUUCUUCUUCUUCUUCACGUCCAUUGCUGCAAGCAGAGAGUGUGUCAGUGCUGCUUCAGUGGUGGAUCCAUGGCCUUCUUAUAUAAUUUUAUUAAACCAAUGUGCCCAAAGGAAUAUGCCUGGGCAAUGGAGAAUAUGCAUGAUAAGGAACCUGUUGGUUGCUUCUCCCUGUUUGCGUUAGCCUGCUGCUAUACCUAAAAGACAAUGCACAAUGAAACAUACUUGGAUAUAUAAUUUAUUUUUUCUUUAAUCCAUUUCAUUUUUAGGCUA